CACUCCUGCUGCUCCGGGCAAUUCAACAAUUUGUAAGCAGGCUGAAAGUCUGAGAAGCUGGAGCUCCACUGGCCUAAGUCCAGGAGUCCCAGUGCUAUUGACCCCGGAGUUCUGAUGUGCAAGACUUGAAGAAGAGCAUGAUACCAGAUCCAGGAGAGACCUCCUUUGUGGAAAAGUUCUGGCUCUGGAAGCACGUAAAGUCACCCUCCCAGGAACAAUGACCCUACCACACUGAAGAUAAAA